rnacentral:tRNA from 1 species
ACUAUUUUGACAGAUAAGUGUAAUAGAUUUAGAAUCUAUAAAUGUAAUUUUAAAUUGCAAAUAGUA